UACGAGGGGGGCGAGCGUUGUUCGGAAUUAUUGGGCGUAAAGGGUGCGUAGGCGGUUUGGUAAGUCUUGUGUGAAAUCUACAGGCUCAACUUGUAGUCUGCACGAGAAACUGCCGGGCUUGAGUCCGGGAAGAGGAGAGUGGAAUUCCUGGUGUAGCGGUGAAAUGCGUAGAUAUCAGGAAGAACACCCGUGGCUAAGGCGGCUCUCUAGUACGGUACUGACGCUGAGACGCGAGAGCGUGGGGAGCGAACAGG
rnacentral:rRNA from 1 species